ACAGCUUGAGGAAAUUAUCAAGAAAUUGGAUUCUGAUGCUGAGAGUGAUUCCAAAGUUGUGUGGGAACAAGUAGUAACUACUCUUCAAAACCUAGA